rnacentral:lncRNA from 1 species
CAGUGGCCCCAUCUCAGCUCACUGCAAGCUCCGCCUCCUGGGUUCACGCCAUUCUCCUGCCUUGGCCUCCUGAGUAGCUGGGGCUACAGGCACCCGCCACCACACCCAGCUAAUUUUUUUGUAUUUUUUAGUAGAGACGGGGUUUCACCAUGUUAGCCAGGAUGGUCUCGACCUCCUGAGUUCGUGAUCUGCCCGCCUCGGCCUCCCAAAGUGCUGGGAUUACAGGUGUGAGCCACCGCACCCGGCCCACACAGCUCUAAUUUUAUGUGAGGCCUCAAGCAAGCAAAGGCUCCACAGCAGGACCAGGCUGUGGUGCAAGCUGCCCUGCCCCUUGGGCCUAAUGGCCCAGCAGGCCCAAUGGUACAGGGAAUUUCUACUGUGUGUGAAACCUCUUGCUUUUAGGAGAAUCCUAGUAAACCCCCUAUGACCUUUUCUGACAAGUACAUUCCAUUUGAACACAAAUUGUAAAACCUGAACUGUUGAUGAAUUUGAUGUCAUCUGAUUCCAAAAACCAUAAAAUUUGACUCAUGCAGCAGCAUUUCAUUGUUAAAUGAAAAUGUAUAUGUAAGACUAGCCCAAGCAGUUCCUGAGGACACAAUUAAAACAUACAAGCGGCCGGGCACGGUGGCUCACGCCUGUAAUCCCAGCACUUUGGGAGGCUGAGGUGGGCGGAUCACGAGGUCAGGAGAUGGAGACCACCCUGGCUAACCCAGUGAAACCCUGUCUCUACUAAAACUACAAAAAAAUUAGCCGGGCAUGGUGGCGGGC